rnacentral:rRNA from 1 species
CCUACGGGUGGCAGCAGUGAGGAAUAUUGGUCAAUGGACGCAAGUCUGAACCAGCCAAGCCGCGUGCAGGAAGACGGCUCUACGAGUUGUAAACUGCUUUUGUACGAGGGUAAACUCAGAUACGCGUACCUUUCUGAAAGUACCUUACGAAUAAGGAUCGGCUAACUCCGUGCCAGCAGCCGCGGUAAUACGGAGGAUUCAAUCGUUAUCCGGAUUUAUUGGGUUUAAAGGGUGCGUAGGCGGUCGGAUAAGUUAGAGGUGAAAUCCCGGGGCUCAACUGCGGAAUUGCCUCUGAUACUGGUCGGCUAGAGAGUAGUUGCGGUAGGCGGAAUGUGUGGUGUAGCGGUGAAAUGCUUAGAGAUCAUACAGAACACCGAUUGCGAAGGCAGCAUACCAAGCUACGUCUGACGUUGAGGCACGAAAGCGUGGGUAGCAAACAGGAUUAGAUACCCGGGUAGUC